AACGGCAUCCCUAGUAGCGGCGAGCGAGCGGGAAGAGCUCAAAUUUAUAAUCUGGCACCUUCGGUGUCCGAGUUGUAAUCUCUAGAAAUGUUUUCCGCGUUGGACCGCACACAAGUCUGUUGGAAUACAGCGGCAUAGUGGUGAGACCCCCGUAUAUGGUGCGGACGCCCAGCGCUUUGUGAUACAUUUUCGAAGAGUCGAGUUGUUUGGGAAUGCAGCUCAAAUUGGGUGGUAAAUUCCAUCUAAAGCUAAAUAUUGGCGAGAGACCGAUAGCGAACAAGUACCGUGAGGGAAAGAUGAAAAGCACUUUGGAAAGAGAGUUAACAGUACGUGAAAUUGUUGGAAGGGAAACGCUUGAAGUCAGACUUGCUUGCUGAGCAAUCGGUUUGCAGGCCAGCAUCAGUUUUCCGGGAUGGAUAAUGGUAGAGAGAAGGUAGCAGUUUCGGCUGUGUUAUAGCUCUCUGCUGGAUACAUCUUGGGGGACUGAGGAACGCAGUGUGCCUUUGGCGGGGGUUUCGACCUCUUCACACUUAGGAUGCUGGUGGAAUGGCUUUAAACGACCCGUCUUGAACCACCGGACCA
rnacentral:rRNA from 1 species